ACGAACGCUAGCGGGAUGCCUCAAACAUGCAAGUCGCACGCGAAUUUCCCUUCGGGGAAUUGUAGAGUGGCGCACGGGUGAGUAACACGUAGCUAAUGUACCCUUUCGCUGGGGAUAACUCCGGGAAACCGGAGCUAAUACCGAAUGAUCUCAAGAAGUCUACGGACUAUUUGGGUAAAGCCUUCGGGCGCGAAAGGAUCAGGCUGCGGCCUAUUAGCUAGUUGGUAGGGUAACGGCCUACCAAGGCGACGAUAGGUAGCUGGUCUGAGAGGAUGAUCAGCCACACUGGAACUGAAACACGGUCCAGACUCCCACGGGAGGCAGCAGUUGGGAAUAUUGGACAAUGGGGGCAACCCUGAUCCAGCAAUCCCGCGUGAGGGACGAAGGCCUUCGGGUCGUAAACCUCUUUCAGCAGGGAAAAAGGGAAACUUGAUGGUACCUGCAGAAGAAGCACCGGCUAACUCUGU
rnacentral:rRNA from 1 species